GUGGGUUUACAAGAAGAAUGAUUGGAUACAUAGGCAGAAGGACGGGACUGGGAGAUUUAGGGACCGAGACAAAUGUCAUUACUUAUUGGACCCAGAAUGCAUCGCAGGCACCUUUCCAUUGAUAACAACGCUUAAUAACAUUUUAUAGGCAAGUAACAACUGUUUCUUGAUAUUUCUGCAUUUUAAAGCAUUAAUAAUACUCCUAUAAUAUAUGUUAUCGUAUCACCAUAAAACAUGUCACACAGGGUAAUAGCUUAGAAUGACAACUGUGUGUAUAGUAGGAGAGGCUACAGAUUUCAGAACCCAUAUGAAAACACAGGUAUAUGUAUACGUACUUUUCUCUAGCUUUGGCCAGGCCCUCUUCAUAGGUCUGUACCCACUCAAUACUUUCUCCCCAGCCUGCAAAGAAAUGAAAAAGCCACAAUGAUUAGGGGAGUCUGUAGCUGUGUGUGUGUGUGUGUGUGUGUGUGUAGCAUGGAGGAAUGGACAAACCUUUAUAAACAAUCCAUACUAUCUACUAAUGUAUGUGUUAUACUCAUAUAUCUGCUGUGACCUGAUCAUAGAUCAUCCUGAGUCUGGAUGCCCUGAGAAAUACUUAGGAAUUUGGUUUCAGUAGCUGCUGAAAAUUCAUUUGAUUUGCAUGACUGAUUUACUAAAUACAUUCCUUUUUUUCCAAAGUCAUAUGAUAUCAGUCCAUGGCACCUUGAAACACAGUGAGAAGAAUAAAAUGUCUGAAUAUAGUGUCUGAGUAACAAUUACCUCUGUCCAGGGUCUUCAGGCCUUUAGUUUUUAUUGGUGCAGGCUCUUGAUCAGUUUUGGUAUCAGUUGUUCCUGCCUGCUUCUUUGGUUUUUUAAGGACAGCUUCUCCCAGCGCUGAGCACAGGAGGACAAGGCAAACUAGGGACAGGCCAGCCUGCAUUAUGUCUAUAAGGAAGAAGGGGCACAAAUGAGAUACUUUAUGCAAUACUGUCAUAUCCAGUGAUAAAUGAUUAUGUUUCAACAUGACAAACAUUCCCAUUAGCCUUUUUUAAAUGCGACCGUCCCAUUCUCCAUAAUUGAUUCCGCUUGUUAACAUUAAUAUUACUGGUUAAUCCUAAUGCAAUGCUCAUCUAUUGGGGAACUAAAUAGAUCUGUAUCAUUCUCUUUACGUUGAUACAAAUUAGCAGUAACACGGAAGCUGAUUUGUACGUUUGUAACUAUUGCUUUUUUCUUUAUGAUUGAAUUAGUAAAUCUGCUCCAUGUCUUUAUUCAAAUGCAUCAAGUAAAAUUAUCUUAUCAGAGAGGAUGUGACGAUAACACUAGAAAAGGAAAACCAUAGACAUUUAUUGGGCUGAGCAGUAUUGAGACAAUUUAGUAACUACAGUAUACGUUAUAUCAUCCCAUCCCUCCACAUAAGUACUAAAUAGCAAAGGAAAGAAAUGUAAAUACAGUAAGAAGACCUGCUCUUAAGCUGCAAUCAGUGAUAUUCACUAUACAUUUCCUCAGCCUCGGGCCAAUCUAUUAAGAAAACACUUGUUGGUGUUAUACUCAUUAGUAUCUCCUGUUUGCUCCCUUUUAUGUUCCAGUAUCUGGCAAUAACUAAGUCUGGUGCUACAAUUGAUCCUAUCCAGAAUAAAGAUGUGAAAUAAAAAUAGGUGCAGAAAUAAUGAAGAUAUGUAGUAAGUAGAAGUAAGUAGAAGUAGUGUAGAUAUGUCAGUUACCCCUGCAAUGUAGUUCAGCUAUUCUUAGAAAUCAGAGUGCUUACCUGUGGAUGUCUUGCUCUUCCAGGUAGUUUCAGAUCAGCUCCUCUGAGAUAAUGCUGCAAGUUGCAGGUGGUGGUGUAUUUAUACCCAAAGCAGGUAUAACUGCUAGAGAUCAACGUCAGCCUUAAAACCAGGAUGUCCUGAUCCUUUUAGUCUUUUUGACCCAACCCAAAGAUCAGCACUGGCAGGGAACUGCCCCAUAUCAUACUUUUCCUUUUCUUUAGGCAGCUAUUAUUUGUUUAGUUAAAGUAUGCAGGGGACACACCUGCCUGCAAGUCUUUCCUUGAUGUGUCAAGUAGUUAUUGGUUGAUGUUAACAGAUUAAUCAGAUAUCGGCUAACAGAAGCAAAGGGACAU